UACAGAGGGGGCAAGCGUUAUUCGGAAUUAUUGGGCGUAAAGGGCGCGUAGGCGGCUUUGCAAGUGACGGGUGAAAUCCCUCGGCUUAACCGAGGAACUGCCUGUCAGACUGCAUGGCUUGAGACCAGGAGAGGUGAGUGGAAUUCCCAGUGUAGCGGUGAAAUGCGUAGAUAUCGGGAGGAACACCUGUGGCGAAAGCGGCUCACUGGACCACAACUGACGCUGAGGCGCGAAAGCUAGGGGAGCAAACAGG
rnacentral:rRNA from 1 species